GCGGUUGUAUUAUAGUGGUGAGUGUACCCGCUUGUCACGUGGGUCACUCGGUUUCGAUCCUCGGCAACUGUG
rnacentral:tRNA from 1 species